GCUACAGCUGGUGCUCGGAUUCCCAAUCUAUGACCAUGAAUGUUGGGGCGGUCAUAAGUGCCAAUGGGUCGAGCUGCUCGCUGUUGGUUUUGUGGAACGUUGUUAGCUCCAUUGACGCCCGCAUCAUUUUGAGGUAUGUCUUCCAUAUCAGUGUCCAAUCUCUGCAAGUGAGCAUGUUGUUCUUCGUCUCUUCUCUUUCUAGCACACUCUCUCUCUAAAGCUCUGAUGUCUGCAGCUCUUGGAACUAGGUUUGAUGGACCCCUGCUCCUCAAGUUCAUACACCUGUAG
rnacentral:lncRNA from 1 species